UACGUAGGGGGCAAGCGGUUGUCCGGAUUUAUUGGGCGUAAAGAGCGUGUAGGCGGCCACACAGGUCUGCUGUGAAAACUCGAGGCUCAACCUCGAGCUGUCGGUGGAAACCGUGUGGCUAGAGUCCGGAAGAGGAGAGUGGAAUUCCCGGUGUAGCGGUGAAAUGCGCAGAUAUCAGGAGGAACACCGAUGGCGAAGGCAGGUCUCUGGGCCGAUACUGACGCUGGAGGAGCGAAAGCGUGGGGAGCGAACAGG
rnacentral:rRNA from 1 species